rnacentral:tRNA from 1 species
AAAUAAGAAGCAAUAUUGCAUUUAAUUUCGACUUAAAAGAUAGAGUAAUAAAUAUUUACUCCUUAUUUA